rnacentral:rRNA from 1 species
AUUGAACGCUGGCGGCAUGCUUUACACAUGCAAGUCGAGCGGCAGCGCGGGGGGCAACCCUGGCGGCGAGCGGCGAACGGGUGAGUAAUGCAUCGGAACGUACCCUGGAGUGGGGGAUAACGCCGCGAAAGCGGCGCUAAUACCGCAUAUGCUCUGAGGAGGAAAGUGGGGGACCGCAAGGCCUCACGCUCUGGGAGCGGCCGAUGUCCGAUUAGCUAGUUGGUGAGGUAAAGGCUUACCAAGGCGACGAUCGGUAGCUGGUCUGAGAGGAUGAUCAGCCACACUGGGACUGAGACACGGCCCAGACUCCUACGGGAGGCAGCAGUGGGGAAUUUUGGACAAUGGGGGCAACCCUGAUCCAGCCAUGCCGCGUGAGUGAAGAAGGCCUUCGGUGUAAGACUCUUUGGUCGGUAGAAGUAGCCUGCUUAA